GUCCACGCUGUAAACGAUGAAUACUAGAUAUUGGGGAUUUGACCCCUUCAGUGUAGUAGCUAACGCGUUAAGUAUUCCGCCUGGGAAGUACGGUCGCAAGACUAAAACUCAAAGGAAUUGACGGGGCCCGCACAAGCGGUGGAUUAUGUGGUUUAAUUCGAAGCAACGCGCAGAACCUUACCUAGGCUUGAAAUCCCACGAACCCGGCCCAAAAGCUGGGGUGCUCUUCGGAGAAUGUGGUGACAGGCGCUGCAUGGCUGUCGU
rnacentral:rRNA from 1 species